rnacentral:rRNA from 1 species
UUGAAAGGGAAACGAUUGAAGUCAGUCGUACCAGCGGGAAAUCAACCUUUCGAGUGGGGGUUUUGGAGUUUUGAAGAGUGUCAAAACCUUUGAGAUUUCAAAAUAUUCGCUCUUUUGGUGUACUUUCCCGUGGGUAGGUUAACAUCGAUUUUGAUCGUCAUAAAAAGAUUGGAGGAAUGUAGCUUCGAUCUUGUAUUGAAGUGUUAUAGCCUUUGGUAAAUGUGAUGAUUAGGAUCGAGGAUUGCAACGAAUACCCUUUUGGGCUAUCCGCCUGAUCUCUGAUACGUGGCCUUGGUAUCGAAAGCGUGCUUAUGGUAUUGAGGUAUUACGGUCAAAAGGUUAGAACGGAUUACAUUCGUUAAGGAUGUUGACGUA